GACAGAGGUGCCGAGCGUUAGGCGGAAUCACUGGGCUUAAAGCGUGUGUAGGCGGACCGUUAAGUACCUUGUGAAAUCCCACGGCUCAACCGUGGAACGGCUGGGUAUACUGGCGGUCUUGGGCCACCUAGGGGGCAACCAGAACAAGCGGUGGAGCGGUGAAAUGCGUAGAUAUCGCUUGGAACGCCGACGGUGAAAACAGGUUGCUGGGGGUGUGCCGACGCUGAGACACGAAAGCCAGGGGGAGCGAACGGG
rnacentral:rRNA from 1 species